UACGAAGGGGGCUAGCGUUGCUCGGAAUCACUGGGCGUAAAGGGUGCGUAGGCGGGUCUUUAAGUCAGGGGUGAAAUCCUGGAGCUCAACUCCAGAACUGCCUUUGAUACUGGGUAUCUUGAGUCCGGGAGAGGUGAGUGGAACUCCUAGUGUAGAGGUGAAAUUCGUAGAUAUUAGGAAGAACACCAGUGGCGAAGGCGGCUCACUGGCCCGGAACUGACGCUGAGGUACGAAAGCGUGGGGAGCAAACAGG
rnacentral:rRNA from 1 species